CCUACAGGAGGCUGCAGUGGGGCAUAUUGGGCAAUGGGCGCAAGCCUGACCCAGCAACGCCGCGUGAAGGAAGAAGGCUUUCGGGUUGUAAACUUCUUUUAAGAGGGAAGAGUAGAAGACGGUACCUCUUGAAUAAGCCACGGCUAACUCCGUCACAGCAGCCGCGGUAAUAAGUAGGUGGCAAGCGUUGUCCGGAUUUACUGGGUGUAAAGGGCGUGUCGCCGGACCGGCAAGUCAGAUGUGAAAUCCCAAGGCUCAAACUUGGAACUACAUUUGAAACUGUUGGUCUUGAGUAUCGGAGAGGCAGGCGGAAUUCCUAGUGUAGCGGUGAAAGGCGUAGAUAUUAGGAGGAAAACCAGUGGCGAAGGCGGCCUGCUGGACGACAACUGACGGUGAGGCGCGAAAGCGUGGGGAGCAAACAGGAUUAGAUACCCCUGUAGUC
rnacentral:rRNA from 1 species